GACGAACGCUGGCGGCGUGCUUAACACAUGCAAGUCGAACGGAAAGGCCCUGCUUUUGUGGGGUGCCCGAGUGGCGAACGGGUGAGUAACACGUGAGUAACCUGCCCUUGACUUUGGGAUAACUUCAGGAAACUGGGGCUAAUACCGGAUAGGAGCUCCUGCUGCAUGGUGGGGGUUGGAAAGUUUCGGCGGUUGGGGAUGGACUCGCGGCUUAUCAGCUUGUUGGUGGGGUAGUGGCUUACCAAGGCAUUGACGGGUAGCCGGCCUGAGAGGGUGACCGGCCACAUUGGGACUGAGGUACGGCCCAGACUCCUACGGGGGGCAGCGGGGGGGAAUAUUGCACAGUGGGCGGAAGCCUGAUGCAGCAACGCCGCGUGCGGGAUGACGGCCUUCGGGUUGUGAACCGCUUUCGCCUGUGACGAAGCGUGAGUGACGGUAAUGGGUGAAGAAGCACCGGCUAACUACGUG
rnacentral:rRNA from 1 species